AGAGCUCGUAGGCGGUUUGUCGCGUCUGUCGUGAAAGUCCGGGGCUUAACCCCGGAUCUGCGGUGGGUACGGGCAGACUAGAGUGCAGUAGGGGAGACUGGAAUUCCUGGUGUAGCGGUGGAAUGCGCAGAUAUCAGGAGGAACACCGAUGGCGAAGGCAGGUCUCUGGGCUGUAACUGACGCUCAGGAGCGAAAGCAUGGGGAGCGAACAGGAUUAGAUACCCUGGUAGUCCAUGCCGUAAACGUUGGGCACUAGGUGUGGGGACCAUUCCACGGUUUCCGCGCCGCAGCUAACGCAUUAAGUGCCCCGCCUGGGGAGUACGGCCGCAAGGCUAAAACUCAAAGGAAUUGACGGGGGCCCGCACAAGCGGCGGAGCAUGCGGAUUAAUUCGAUGCAACGCGAAGAACCUUACCAAGGCUUGACAUGUUCUCGAUCGCCGUAGAGAUACGGUUUCCCCUUUGGGGCGGGUUCACAGGUGGUGCAUGGUUGUGCUCCCUUGGGGC
rnacentral:rRNA from 1 species